GCCCAAUAUAUAUCUAGUUUAUUUACGACGAGAAUAAUGAAGGCACAAUGUGAAUCAUGUGAAUCCCAUUGCAGCACAAUGCGAAAUGAAUACACUUUUAUUGAUUUAUCAAACAUUCAGUCACUUAUUUGGAGUUGGCAUACUAUUUAAGACAUCUGUGCUCGACAUAAAUAGGAGCAUAACCGAGGGUAUUCAAUUCACCGUCAACAUAAACGUCGAAGCAAUUUUGAAGAGUUGAAACCGAAAUCUGUUGACUACCCGCUGUGAAGCAGUUAAUAUAGCAAAAACAUUUCACUUGGCGGAAUUUUUCUAUCUCUAUUCGUCGACAAAUAAAUGCACUGGACUUAAGAACCAAAACAUGCAGGAUGGCUGUACCAUUGGUUGAAUAUAAUAAAUUCAACAAGAACAUGGAAAUGCAAAUGCUAGUUUGAACCCUCCUUCAUUGUAAUCAAUGACAAAAUGUCACACGAAGUGCAAAUUACAAUGAAGGAUGGUGUAGGAUAAAAGAGGAUGAAGGAGGUAUCAUAAAGAAGGAGCUGUCAUAAAGAAGGAGGUGUCAUAAAGAACAAGAUCUGGGAAGUGGCAAAUUGCAUGAUGCAUCCCAUUGAUAAAGCUAAGCUGAACCCAAACAGCCCAAAUGCGUAAAAAGAAAAAUGUGCAUGUCAGUUUUGUAACGCAUCACGAGACCGGAAAUUGGAAGUUGGAUCACUCAUUAACCGGAAGUCGCGACUGAUGAACGCGUAAAGUACGGACAUCCUUCGCUCUGAAGAUGGCUACUGCUAAGGUUGUCAAAAUGUCAGUCAUCAUCAGCAACAACACUCCUCAGAAUUGUACUAACCUGGACGAUCUACAUCUACAAACAUGUAACACGAAAUUAUCUUAUAAAAGCAAUAUUUUUCCUACGACUUUCAGUCUUUUCUCUAUCUAUUUUUCAUUUUGAACUAUUGAAUG